AGAGCGAACGCUGGCGGCAGGCUUAACACAUGCAAGUCGAGCGGGCGUAGCAAUACGUCAGCGGCAGACGGGUGAGUAACGCGUGGGAACGUACCUUUGGUUCGGAACAACUGAGGGAAACUUCAGCUAAUACCGAAUAAGCCCUUACGGGGAAAGAUUUAUCGCCGAAAGAUCGGCCCGCGUCUGAUUAGCUUGUUGGUGAGGUAAUGGGCUCACCAAGGCGACGAUCAGUAGCUGGUCUGAGAGGAUGAUCAGCCACAUUGGGACUGAGACACGGCCCAAACUCCUACGGGAGGCAGGCAGUGGGGAAUAUUGGACUAAUGGGCGCGAAGCCUGAUCCAGCCAUGCCGCGUGAGUGAUGAAGGCCCUAGGGUUGUAAAGCUCUUUUGUGCGGGAAGAUAAUGACGGUACCGCAAGAAUAAGCCCCGGCUAACUUCGUGCCAGCAGCCGC
rnacentral:rRNA from 1 species